GUUUGAUCCUGGCUCAGGAUGAACGCUGGCGGCAUGCUUAACACAUGCAAGUUGAACGUAUUCUCAGCCCCUUCGGGGCUGUUUUAUUCGUGGCGAACGGGUGAGUAUCACCUAAGAACCAACCCUUUGGACGAGAAUAACUUUUGGAAACGAAAGCUAAAACUCGAUGAUGUGUUUAUCUGAAAUAUUUAAUUAAUGCCAAAGGACGGGCUUGGGCCUGAUUAGUUUGUUGGUAAGGUAAGAGCUUACCAAGACCACAAUCAGUAGCUGGUCUAAGAGGAUGAUCAGCCACACUGGGACUGAGACACGGCCCAGACCUCUACGGAGGGCAGCAGUGAGGAAUUUUCCGCAAUGGGCGAAAGCCUGACGGAGCAAUGCCGCGUGGAGGAAUGAAGGCUCUUGGGUCGUAAACUCCUUUUCUCAGAAAAGAAAAAAAUGACGAUAUUUGAGGAAAAAGCAUCGGCUAAAUAAAAUUGGCCCUUUAAAGAAGGAAUUCUUUAUAGCAAACUCGGCUAUAACGGUCAAACCCUAACUUUUAGUGGGUAAUACCGUGGGAAGUUUUUGAACUUUUGAACAUAUGGAAUUAACAUUAACAUUGAAAGAACAUUCAAUUAUUUUAGGAACUCUUUUAGGUGAUGGUUUUUUACAAAAGAGAGCUCAAAAAGCUAGACUACGGAUAUGUCAUUCUUAUAAACAAAAACAAUAUGUCGACUGGAAAUAUAAACAACUCCUUACUUUGUGCCAAAGGACAGCUCCUCCUAAAAGUCAACAACGUCCAUUAGGGAAAGCUUAUUCUUUUUCGACACAAUCGGAGAAAAUAUUACUACAAUAUCAUUCUUUAUUUUAUAAAGAAAAUGGUUUGAAAAAAAUUGAUAAUCAGCUUAUUUACUAUAUAAAACAUCCCUUAAGCUUAGCUGUUUGGUGGUUAGAUGACGGUAAUGCCCGUAAAGAUUGUGCUGCUGGUCGAUUAGCUACUUGUGCUUUUAGUUUAGGAGAACAAAAAAUUUUGCAAAAAUUACUUUUGCAAAAUUUUCAAAUUCGAACAAAUAUUGUUCGGAAUUCUAUAAAAAAAAAUAAAGCUCAAUAUUAUUUAUAUAUUCCUAGUCAAGAUUUUUGUCGACUAGUCGCUCUUAUUAAGAUUUAUGUUCAACAAAUUCCUACUAUGGAAUAUAAGUUAGGAAAACCCCGUAACGACUAAAGUUAUCUGCGAUAAACAAUUGGAAUAAAAAGAUUAUUUUAAGAAAUCUGCGAUUCUUUGUUUAUAAUACGCCGAGCUCUAAUUAAUUGAUUAGAUGAUGGUAUAGUCUAUGCUCUAGGUAACUAGAGAACUUACAUGAACUUCGUGCCAGCAGCCGCGGUAAUACGGGGGAUGCAAGCGUUAUCCGGAAUUAUUGGGCGUUAAGGGUCCGAAGGUGGUUUUUGAAGUCUACUGUGAAAGUCCAAAGCUCAACUUUGGGAAGUCAGUAUGAUACUCAAAAACUAGAGAUAGAUAGAGGUAGAGGGAAUUCUCGGUGGAGCGGUGAAAUGCGUAGAUAUCGAGAAGAACACCGGCGGCGAAAGCGCUCUACUGGGUCUAUACUGACACUCAUGGACGAAAGCUAAGGGAGCCAAUAGGAUUAGAUAAAUUCGGCCAAGCUCCAAAAAAAAAAAAGGCCAAAGGUGUCCUGCUAUAUUGUGAGAUAUAGUUUGUAUCUAGCUAUAUCGGGGAAGAGGUAACUCCGCGCCUUUGGCGCUAGACCAUAAUCCCGAGGGAAGUUUUAAACAAACCCCGUAGAGACUAUGAAAUUAAGUAGAUAGAAGAUAUGGUAGAAUUUGUAAAUCUUAGGAAAAAAAAAUUUUCACAAAUAUCUUUGUCAGAUUCUUGUAAAGCAAUUCUGUUAGGUUCUCUUUUAGGUGAUGGAAGUUUAAAAAUUUACAAACCUUAUAAGAAUGCUAGAUUUUGGAUCAGGCAUUCUAUUUCUCAAAAAGAAUAUUACAACUGGAAAAUUAAAGAAUUAAAAGAAAUUGGGACAAAAAAAUCCAAUCAACUCCAAAAACCUAGUGGUUUUAGUCAAAAGAAAAAAUUUCUUUUUCAAAGUGCUGCCAAGGAACAACUUACAGAAAUUUAUAAUAUUACAUAUAGAAAAAAUCGUCUUCGAAUCAGACGAAAAUGGCUCAAUUUUUUAACACCAUUAAGUUUGGCUAUUUGGUGGCUUGAUGAUGGGAGUAUUAUCGAUAAUGGUCGCAGAGGUGUUUUUUGUACAGAUGGAUUUUCAAAAAAAGAACAUGAGACUCUCAAACGUUAUUUUUAUGUUGUCUGGAAAAUUGAAGUUCAUAUAGGUGUUUUAAAAAGAUUUUAUAAUGAACAACAUAAAAACUAUUUUCGUCUUUAUCUAAAUAAUACAUCUUUGAAAAAAUUAUUUCGUAUAAUAAUGCCCCAUAUACCUAUUUCUGAUUAUUUAAUGUCAUCUAUGCUUUAUAAAUUUUGCUUAUUAUACAAAAAUACUGAACUUCAAGAACGCUGGAUUUCUGAGAUGCUUUUUGGUUUUAAUAAUUGCAACGAAAAUCUUAUCCGAGAGACAAUUCAAUUACGGAAAACUCAAUUAAAAAAUUUCAGAAAAUGAUAUAGUCCAUUUCAGAUUGAAAAUUAUCAUUUUUAAUCUUUAUAAUGACCCUAGUAGUCUUAGCUGUAAACGAUGGAGAUUCGGUUUUGGUUUUUUUAUCAGAACUUAAGCUUACGCUUUAAAUCUCCCGCCUGGGGAGUAUGCUCGCAAGAGUGAAACUCAAAGGAAUUGACGGGGGCCCGCACAAGCGGUGGAGCAUGUGGUUUAAUUCGAUGCAACGCGAAGAACCUUACCAGAAUUUGACAGUUCAUUGGCUUUUUCUUGAAAAAGAAUUAGUCCUUUUUGGAACAAUGGAAACAGGUGGUGCAUGGCUGUCGUCAGCUCGUGUCGUAAAUACUUGCGACCUAAAAAAGUGAUUUUUUAGAAAAAUCUGGCUCAUAACGGUAAACCUUAAGGUUUUCUACUAAGGGAAUAUCGUGGGAAGUUUAGAAAGAUAUAUUAAAACAAAAAAAUAAAAAUAAAAAUAAAAAUAAAAAUAAAAAAAUGACAUAUGGAAAUAUAAAUAUUAUUUUCGUGCUUUUAUGUGCAUACAACAAAUUGUUAUUGGCUGUAUUUUAGGAGAUGGGUAUUUAACUAAAUCUGGAUGUUUGCAAAUUGAACAUUCUAUUAAACAAAAAAAAUAUAUUUAUUGGAAAUAUGAUAAAUUGAAAACUAUAGUAAGAAGCGAGCCUGUACAAGUUUCUAGAUAUGAUAAACGUACAGAUCGUAUAUAUUUCAGUUAUCGUUUUUAUACUAAAGCUAUUUUCAAAGAUUUACGUUCUAUUUUUUAUCCUACUGGAAAAAAGAUUAUUCCCUAUAAUAUAGAAAAAAUUCUAAUAUCAAAUCUUGCUUUGGCUAUUCUUUAUAUGGAUGAUGGUGGUCGGGGUGGAAAUACAAAAAAGGGCGUAAUUAUAAAUAUUGCUGGUUAUGAUUUACAAAGUAGAAAACGUUUACAAUUAGCUAUUUUAAAAAUUUAUAAUAUAGAACUCAAUUUACAUAAGAACGGUCAACUUUAUAUUCCAGCAAAGUCAUAUAAUCAUUUUUAUCAAUGUAUUUAUCAUUUUAUUAUACCGUGUAUGCAAUAUAAGCUUUCUAUAACCCCGUAACGACUGAGGAAAUUUCAGAAACUUUUAUUUUUUGAAAAAGUACAAGGCCUAGAUUCUUAUCUUAAUAAGAGUAAGGCCAUACGCCAGCUCUUUUUUUACCUUAUUAAAAAAGAUGAAGGUAUAGUCUAAACUUAUAAGAAAUUAUAAGGUUUAAUGGAGAUGUUGGGUUCAGUCCCGCAACGAGCGCAACCCUUAUCAUUUGUUAUGACUCCUUCGGGGGCUUACUAAUGAAACUGCCAGCCAAAAGCUGGAGGAAGGCGAGGAUGAGGUCAAGUCAGCAUGCCCCUUAUAUUCUGGGCGACACACGUGCUACAAUGGUAGAGACAAAGGGAAGCUUACUUGUAAAAGUUAGCAAAUCCCAAAAACUCUAUCUCAGUUCGGAUUGUCGGCUGCAACUCGCCGACAUGAAGUCGGAAUCGCUAGUAAUCGCCGGUCAGCCAUACGGCGGUGAAUACGUUCCCGGGCCUUGUACACACCGCCCGUCACUCAGGCAAAGUCGGGUGCACCCAAAAUCAAUGAACUCUUAUGAGAAGUUGCCUAAGGUGAAUCUGGUAAUGCCUGAGAAGUCGUAACAAGGUAACCGUACUGGAAGGUGCGGUUGGAUAACCUCCUCA
rnacentral:rRNA from 1 species